UUACGGCCAUAUCGUGUUGAAAUACCGCUUCCCGUUCGAUCACUGUGGUAAAGCAACGUCGAGUUUGUUCAGUACCUAGAUGGGUAACAGCUUCAGAAUUCCAGGUGUUGUAAG